rnacentral:siRNA from 1 species
CCCAAAGGAUCGCCAUUUCUA